UUAUUGAUGUUGGUAGCUCACGUUCUCUGUCGCUGUGAAAAACACCGCUGCAUCCAGUUUUCCCAUCGUAUCACUAUUUCGUGCAAACCACCCCCAGAGAAAGUGUACACGAAAUCGCUACGAUGGCGCUCCGACUGUUCCGCAUGAGCCAGGAUGUGGUUACGCCACUGAUCAAACGUAACUGCACCGUGUCAGCGUUUGAGCUCCAGCACAAGAACCCCGUCCAGCGGAAGGUGGAGCAGAUCCCGAAAGCGCAGUAUGGCGGGCGGCACACGGUGACGAUGCUGCCGGGCGGCGGAAUCGGCCCGGAGCUGAUGAGCUACGUGCGGGAGGUGUUCCGGUUUGCCGGCGUGCCGGUGGACUUUGAAAUCGUCGACAUCGAUCCGGCCAGCGAGGGCAAUGACGAUCUCGAGUACGCCAUCACCUCCAUCAAGCGUAACGGCGUGGCGAUCAAGGGUAACAUCGAGACCAAGUCCGAGGCGACCGGCAUCCUGUCGCGUAACGUCGCCCUGCGCAACGAGCUCGAUCUGUUCGUGAACGUGCUGCACUGCAAAUCGUUCAACGCGAUCCCGGCCCACCACCAGAACGUGGACGUGGUGAUCGUGCGGCAGAACACCGAGGGCGAGUACGCCAUGCUGGAGCACGAGAGUGUGCGCGGCGUGGUGGAAAGCAUGAAGGUGGUCACGAUCGAGAAUGCGGCCCGCGUGGCCCGGUUUGCGUUCGAGUUCGCGAAGAACAACAACCGCAAGAAGGUGACCACCAUCCACAAGGCGAACAUUAUGAAGCUGGCCGACGGGCUGUUCCUGAAGGUGGCGCGCGACAUCGCGAAGGAGUAUCCGGACAUCCAGCACAACGAUAUGAUUAUCGACAACUGCUGCAUGCAGCUCGUAUCGAACCCGCACCAGUUUGACGUGAUGAACACGACCAACCUGUACGGCAGCAUUACGUCGAACGUGCUGUGCGGGCUGGUCGGUGGUGCCGGCCUGUUUUCUGGCCGUAACUAUGGUGACCACUACGCCGUGUUUGAACCGGGCACUCGUAACACUGGCACGGCAAUUGCCGGCAAGAACGUUGCCAAUCCGGUCGCCAUGCUGAACGCGGCGGUGGACAUGCUGUACCAUCUGGGUCACCGCUACCAUGCCGACUGUAUCUCGGACGCGCUGCACAAAACGAUCGACAUCGAUGGAAUCCACACGCCCGAUCUUGGCGGUAACAACACGAGCACCGACAUUGUCCAGAACGUUCUGAAGCAUCUGGCCGAGAAGAGAACGUACUGGAGUGUUAUAAAGGAAAAUUGAACACAAACAAAGGGAAAGCAACGUCAAUAACACGGCAUGUGGCAUGCAUCAUCGGCUGCGGAUGAUACCAAGAACAGCAAAACACAUUAUUAGCACGAUCGAUGUGAAGCAAACGCAAUUAGAACUAAUAGAGGAAAAAGGGUGUUAAACCACGCUUUGUUAAGCCGGUCAGCUGUUUGCAAACAGCGAUUGAUAUUCGAAAACUCAAGCUUGCCGCCCGUGACAAUAUGGUUCCCGGCGUAUGCGUAUAUCUGAGAAGUUAGGUUAGAACCGAAAAAACAAACACCCCAAACACCCCUAAACCAAAGCCAAAAUAGUUCCUUUCCAAGCGCAAAUCCUUAAACUUUCAUCCCGUUUGUAACUGUUUAACUGUUAUUUCCGAUCCCGAUUCCCGUUCUCUUUCCCUUUUCGGUCUGUAACAUCUGACUCACACAUACACACACACUUGCCAACAGCUCCUAAUCUCCCCCCCCCCGCAACUCGGUGUGUUGUUUUGUUGUGAGGGGGCAUUCUUUCGGUGGAUGGGCCAUUCCUUUCUUUCCCCUUUGCGAGACGAGGAAACACACCUUCAAAAUCAUGCAACAAACAAACACAAAACAAAACCCCAUCAGGAAGCAUAAUGCUGUGAAGCUAGACGAUCAAACCGUGCGCGGUGUGUGCGUAGGUGAGGAAGCAGAGCGUUUGAGAAUGUUUUGGACCAGUUGGCAAAAUUAGGUAAAAAAGUAAAGGUAAUCGGCAAACAAAUAUGGAAAACACAAUAUAAAAGCUCAAAAUUUGGCGUAAAACAAACAAAAAACAAAACCCCGAGAUUCUCUGUUUCCAAAUCUGUGUCCACCCAUGGGACCUUUCACCUGCUCAUUUCCAUCAUGUUCGGGGGCUGUGGGAACGGUAGUUGUUGGCCGCGACCAACAACUGCCUCAUCAUCAUCAUCAUGCGUUGGUACACACACCUUCCAGUAAUGACCGUCUGCGUAUCUUGUUGUUCGUUUUCGUUAUGUUGUUUUGGUACAUUUUCUGUAGUUUCUUUCGUUGCACUCUGUGUGCGUGUGUGAUCUAUUUUUUUUUUAUUUAAUCCGUCCCGUGUGUCCCCUAUGAUCAAUGAUAGCAUCGUGAAAGCGAUCAUUUAAUCUUUGCAAUCAAAUAUUUAACAAUGUUUUACCCUGUUACCCCGAAUAACGCCCCCUCCUGAUCGGGCUCCAGCCUGAAGUGUUAGUUAACAAAGUAGAGCCAGUUUGAUAUAAGCUACCGUGUGGAAAAGACAUGUUUGCUCAUCAUUCUGCGACGAUAAUUGAUCAUUAUUGUGCGUGUUUGUCGAUCAUUCAUCCCCUGGUUCCUGUUACGGUUUGUUUGAACGCCAAUUGUGUGGGCGUGUGGGAUUUUUGUGUCGUGACGGCAGACGAUUUAUGACGCCUCUGCUCACUGUCUUGGUUUUACGACGUUUUGUUUAUACCUUAUGUACCAAUUUGUAAUUGGAAAAGUGAGCUUGUGUUGUAUCCUUCGGAAGUUUCAAAAUUUGAAUUUUUCAAAAUGAAUUUGCAACCGAUUUGCGAGAACCUAUUGGCACGUUUAGUAUCAGUUUGGCAAGGAACGCUCGGUAACUACCACAAAAUUGUUUUUGCUCACUUUUCUGUGCAAUUAUGACUCUUUAUUUGAUUUUCUCUUUAUUUUGAUACAUUUCUUUUCUUAUGUUUUGUAUUUGAACUUAUUGUAAAAAAAAACCAAAAAAAUACAUCCACAAUCCACCAACGAAAAAUCGUACCCCUACCGAACGCGGAAACGAAUGCACAGAGAAGAGCGCAUACGGGAUCCCAAACGCCGAGGGAUGAGCUGGCGAGCAUCAAGAGUGUAAGAGAAAGUGGAGCGCGGAAUUGGAAAUGAUCGGUGUUGCCUUAUUUACGUUAGAUUAGAUCUUCUUUCGAUGCGAAUUCAUAAACCUAAGCAAAAGGACACUGUUCUGUUUUUAGAUGUUUUUGGAUUUUUUUUCGGCAGAUUUGAAAUGUUUUCUUUUUUAGUAUUAUAAUCCCCAAAAUUGUGAAGGAGUUUUAUGGUCAACCGCAAAGGCAAGCUUAUGUUGGAAGGGAAGCAAGACAAAGAAUGAUACACAAAUCAUGAUAAUUUUAUUUAUUUCAAUUAAACAAAUACAUGAUUGCCCCGAGAAGGAUGAAUGCUGCAAACGAAAUAGAUACUGUUACUGUAAGAUACAAUAAAUGAUUAGUAACUGUUUGAUUGCAAAA